rnacentral:rRNA from 1 species
UUGGAGGGCAAGYCUGGUGCCAGCAGCCGCGGUAAUUCCAGCUCCAAUAGCGUAUAUUAAAGUUGUUGCAGUUAAAAAGCUCGUAGUUGAAUUUCGGGAUCAGAUUGUCGGUCGUGCCUCGGUACGCACUGGCAUUAUUGGUUCCUACCUUCUGAAGAACCGCGAUGUCAUUAAUUUGGUGUCGUGGGGAAUCAGGACUGUUACUUUGAAAAAAUUAGAGUGUUUAAAGCAGGCUCACGCUUGAAUACAUUAGCAUGGAAUAAUGAAAUAGGACAUCCGAUUCUAUUUUGUUGGUUUCUAGGAUCGAUGUAAUGAUUAAUAGGGAUAGUUGGGGGCAUUAGUAUUCAAUUGUCAGAGGUGAAAUUCUUGGAUUUAUUGAAGACUAACUACUGCGAAAGCAUUUGCCAAGGAUGUUUUCAUUAAUCAAGAACGAAAGUUAGGGGAUCGAAGACGAUCAGAUACCGUCGUAGUCUUAACCAUAAACUAUGCCGACUAGGGAUCGGAUGAUGUUAAUUUUUUAAUGACUCAUUCGGCACCUUACGGGAAACCAAAG